UACGAAGGGGGCUAGCGUUGUUCGGAAUUACUGGGCGUAAAGCGCGCGCAGGCGGUCCUUUAAGUCAGGGGUGAAAGCCCAGAGCUCAACUCUGGAACUGCCUUUGAAACUAGAGGACUUGGGUACGGGAGAGGUGAGUGGAAUUCCGAGUGUAGAGGUGAAAUUCGUAGAUAUUCGGAGGAACACCAGUGGCGAAGGCGGCUCACUGGUCCAUAACUGACGCUGAGGUGCGAAAGCGUGGGGAGCAAACAGGG
rnacentral:rRNA from 1 species